AACGAACGCUGGCGGCGUGGAUAAGACAUGCAAGUCGAACGAGAGUUUGUUUAUAGCAAUAUGAGCGAACUUUAGUGGCGAAAGGGUGCGUAACACGUGGCUAUCUACCUCGAAGUGGGGGAUAUCUCCGAGAAAUCGGAGUUAAUACCGCAUGUGACCGCAAGGUCAAAGCUGGGGAUCGUAAGACCUGGCGCUUUGAGAUGAGGCUGCGGCCUAUCAGGAGUUGGC
rnacentral:rRNA from 1 species